rnacentral:rRNA from 1 species
GACGAACGCUGGCGGCGUGCUUAACACAUGCAAGUCGAACGGAAAGGCCCUGCUUGCAGGGUACUCGAGUGGCGAACGGGUGUGUAACACGUGGGUGAUCUGCCCUGCACUUCGGGAUAAGCCUGGGAAACUGGGUCUAAUACCGGAUAGGAGCCAUUUUUAGUGUGAUGGUUGGAAAGUUUUUUCGGUGUAGGAUGAGCUCGCGGCCUAUCAGCUUGUUGGUGGGGUAAUGGCCUACCAAGGCGGCGACGGGUAGCCGGCCUGAGAGGGUGGACGGCCACAUUGGGACUGAGAUACGGCCCAGACUCCUACGGGAGGAAGAAGGGGGGAAUAUUGAACAAUGGGCGCAAGCCUGAUGAAGAGACGCCGCGUGGGGGAUGACGGCCUUCGGGUUGUAAACUCCUUUCGCUAGGGACGAAGCUUUUUGUGACGGUACCUAGAGAAGAAGCACCGGCUAACUACGUG